ACGUAAUUCGAGAAGACUACGCUGAGCAAUGACCGCUUUACGCUCCUGUUCAACACCAGCCUGAGCCCUUUCGUAGGCAGCCUCGGCUUGUUGCUUGCGUAAAAGGCAGAAAUCGGUAUCAAAACGCAUCAAAACACUAGAAAGGGAUUUGGCAAUCCGCGUAAGUUGAGAUGUAAUUAAUUCAGAUGGAGUAGAUUGAAGAGAAACAGAAUCCGAAGACUUAAUGGGAUUAGAAAACAAGUCAGAAGAAAAGCUAAUGGAAUUUUCAAUAUGGUUCAAACGAAUAGAAAAUGCACCUUUCUUGUUACCAUUCAUAAUGAAUUUCUCAAUUUGACCAGGGUUAAAAUCGUAAGGCUCCUCGAAUGUAGCAAGGUCCAUAACAUAUUUCAAUGAAAUGGAAUCAUAAACUUGAGACAGUUGUUGGAAAAGACGAGUAAGAAUAACCUGUUGUAAAGGACGAAUGUAUUGAGCAGUAUCAUUACUUUCUGCCAAUCUUUUGAUGAUAGGCUGAAGUUUUUUGCAAAUGCUCAAUGGAUGAAACUCAACUUCCAAAAUCUGGUACAAAUCACGGAUAGCCUGAUCACAGAAAGA